UCCAGGUUCCCAAAGUGAAACCCUAACUCACACACAAGAAAUGAAAAUUUCCAAAAAUCCCCAGAUCCUAGGGUUUUGAAUUAAGCCAGACAGUAGAGAUGAGAAGGAAGGCCACUUGAGAGAGGAUCAGAAGUCUUUUCCAAAGACAUAUACAAACAAACAUACAUGAUAGAAAUAAAACUGAUUCAAGACUUAAAAGUUCUAAAGAAAGAGAUUAUAU
rnacentral:lncRNA from 1 species